rnacentral:rRNA from 1 species
GGUUGCGAUCAUACCAGCACUAAUGCACCGGAUCCCAUCAGAACUCCGUAGUUAAGUGUGCUUGGGCGAGAGUAGUACUAGGAUGGGUGACCCCCUUUGACCUACUCGUGUUGCAACCU